AAUAGAUACCCUGGUAGUCCACGCCGUAAACUAUGGAUGCUAGCUGUUAGAAGUAUCGACCCUUCUAGUAGCGAAGCUAACGCGUUAAGCAUCCCGCCUGUGGAGUACGAGCGCAAGCUUAAAACAUAAAGGAAUUGACGGGGACCCGCACAAGCGGUGGAGCGUGUUGUUUAAUUCGAUGAUAAGCGAAGAACCUUACCCAGGCUUGACAUCCUUGGAAUUUUGCCGAAAGGCGAGAGUGCUUUUAGAGCCAAGUGACAGGUGAUGCAUGGCCGUCGUCAGCUCGUGUCGUGAGAUGUUUGGUUAAGUCCAUCAACGAGCGCAACCCUUGUAGUUAGUUGUAUUUUUCUAGCUAGACUGCCCUGGUAACAGGGAGGAAGGAGGGGAUGAUGUCAGGUCAGUAUUUCCCUUACGUCUGGGGCUACAAACACGCUACAAUGGCCGGUACAAAGCGCAGCCAGCCCGCGAGGGGGAGCAAAUCGCAUCAAAGCCGGUCUCAGUUCGGAUUGCAGGCUGAAACUCGCCUGC
rnacentral:rRNA from 1 species